CAGUAGCCACGGUAAUACGUAGGUCCCGAGCGUUGUCCGGAUUUAUUGGGCGUAAAGCGAGCGCAGGCGGUUAGAUAAGUCUGAAGUUAAAGGCUGUGGCUUAACCAUAGUACGCUUUGGAAACUGCUUAACUUGAGUGCAAGAGGGGAGAGUGGAAUUCCAUGUGUAGCGGUGAAAUGCGUAGAUAUAUGGAGGAACACCGGUGGCGAAAGCGGCUCUCUGGCUUGUAACUGACGCUGAGGCUCGAAAGCGUGGGGAGCAAACAGGAUUAGAUACCCCUGUAGUCCCUGUCUCUUAUACA
rnacentral:rRNA from 1 species